rnacentral:rRNA from 1 species
AUUGAACGCUGGCGGCAGGCCUAACACAUGCAAGUCGAACGAGUGGCGGACGGGUGAGUAAUGUCUGGGAAACUGCCUGCUGGAGGGGGAUAACUACUGGAAACGGUAGCUAAUACCGCAUACCAUCAGAUGUGCCCAGACGGGAUUAGCUAGUUGGUGGGGUAACGGCUAACCAAGGCGACGAUCCCUAGCUGGUCUGAGAGGAUGACCAGCCACACGUGAACUGUGACACGGUCCCGACUCCUACGUGAGGCAGCAGUGGGGAAUAUUGCACAAUGGGCUCAAGCCAGAUGCAGCCAUGCCGCGUGUAUGAAGAAGGCCUUCGGGUUGUAAAGUAUUUUCAGCGGGGAAGCGUUACCCGCAGAAGAAGCACCGGCUAACUCCGUGCCAGCCGCCGCGGUAAUUC